rnacentral:rRNA from 1 species
GCCUAACACAUGCAAGUCGAACGGUAACAGGGAUUGCUUGCAAUCCGCUGACGAGUGGCGCACGGGUGCGUAACGCGUAUACAAUCUGCCUUUAACUAAGGGAUAGCCCAGAGAAAUUUGGAUUAAUACCUUAUAUUAUUGUGAUUUGGCAUCAUAUUACAAUUAAAACUUCGGUGGUUAAAGAUGAGUAUGCGUCCUAUUAGCUUGUUGGUAAGGUAAUGGCUUACCAAGGCAACGAUAGGUAGGGGGCCUGAAAGGGUGAUCCCCCACACUGGUACUGAGACACGGACCAGACUCCUACGGGAGGCAGCAGUGAGGAAUAUUGCGCAAUGGAGGAAACUCUGACGCAGCCAUGCCGCGUGCAGGAAGAAUGCCCUACGGGUUGUAAACUGCUUUUAUAUAGGAAGAAACCCCGAUACGUGUAUCGGCUUGACGGUACUAUAUGAAUAAGGACCGGCUAACUCCGUGCCAGCAGCCGCGGUAAUACGGAGGGUCCAAGCGUUAUCCGGAUUUAUUAGGUUUAAAGGGUCCGCAGGCGGGAUUUUAAGUCAGUGGUGAAAGCCUACAGCUCAACUGUAGAACUGCCAUUGAAACUGAAAUUCUUGAGUGUGGUUGAAGUGGGCGGAAUAUGUCAUGUAGCGGUGAAAUGCAUAGAUAUGACAUAGAACACCAAUUGCGAAGGCAGCUCACUAAGCCAUUACUGACGCUCAUGGACGAAAGCGUGGGGAGCGAACAGGAUUAGAUACCCUGGUAGUCCACGCCGUAAACGAUGAUCACUCGUUGCUGGUAAUAUACCAUCAGUGACCAAGCGAAAGUGUUAAGUGAUCCACC